UUAGUGCCGCCCGGCAGCCCUCCAGGGUCUUGGGUGCCAGGGUGCAGGAGCUCCCACAAGGAUGAAGAGGCUCCCCACUGUGCGGGACCCCAUAGCACCAGGAGGAGGAUGUCACACUGGGGCCGGGGCUCCCCGCAGCACCUCCCAGUUUGAGGAACUGAGGCACAGAGAAGUGACGGCCUGAAGUCAGUGAGCUAGUGAACUGGAGCAGUGGACCAUCACAGCCCCCGGGGGUCACCUGAGCAGAAGACAGAGAUUAAAAUGGCCUUGUCCCCUCUGCCUUGAA